GACGAACGCUGGCGGCGUGCCUAAUACAUGCAAGUAGAACGCAGUUGCGAAAGGGUGAGUAACGCGUAGGUAACUGCCUGGUAGCGGGGGAGUACUAAUGGAAACGAUAGCUAAUACCGCAUACUACAAGAUGGACAUGCGUUGUAUUAGGUAGUUGGUGGGGUAACGGCGCACCAAGGCAACGAUACAUAGGCGACCUGAGAGGGGGAUCCGCCACACUGGGACUGAGACACGGCCCAGACUCCUACGGGAGGCAGGCGUAGGGAAUCUUCGGAAAUUGACGGAAGUCUGACCGAGCAACGCCGCGUGAGUGAAGAAGGUUUUCGGGGCGUAAAGCUCUGUUGUAAGAGAAGCGGUAUCUUACCAGAAAGGGACGGCUAACUCCGUGCCAGCAGCCGCGGUAAUUC
rnacentral:rRNA from 1 species